UGCUAUGUACUGGUAUGUUCUUCAAGAUCUUAUUUCUAUAUAUAGCUUUCCUUUUUCCUUUUCCUUCAUUUCCAUUGCAUUUUGGACCCAUCUAGCUUGUGAGUUGAGACACACAUAAUAUAGUCAUUUAAAUUUGUGCAUGAGAUUCUAAUUGAUGUCCAUGCUAAUAAAGCAUUAGUUUAGGAGUCAUUUAAGUGCUAUAGUUGCUGACGCCAUGUCCCUUUAUUUGUCAACUUAUUAUUCCAGAAUCUCUCGUCUUUUGAAGGUUCAAAUUAUCUGUAACCUGCUCAUUCCUUAAAUCUACUCGGGAUCAACUUUGGAGAAUCAGCUAGCAUAUCGGACAGGGAUGGCCUACCUACUCAUUUGAGCACCAGUAAGGCAAUUGACCUACCCACUGAUCUACUCUCAAGUAUCUAUAUUGCGGAAACGGAUUAGCUUGCUCUUUGUGUUGCAGACACCAUCACAAGAAAUGAUUGCAUGUGGCUUUUUGCUCUUUGUGCUGCAGUUGAUACUCCACUGUGUGCUGACACUUGCUCCUCUCUCAGAGGUUUUCUGCAUAAGUGUGUGCUGGCAUUCAUGCCAUGAAGACUGAACUGGAUGAGGAG
rnacentral:lncRNA from 1 species